rnacentral:lncRNA from 1 species
AAAGCUGCCCAACUAGAAACCCCAAAAGGCAAGAGAACUACGAUACCCACAAUUCAGGCUCCUCACCCGAAACCAGAAGAGGGCGUAUGGCUAGAGUUUCACCCUAAGAAGAAAGGGGAAGCAGGUGGAAAAGCAAUUAAAAAAAAAUCAGAUUCUCUUUUGGUGAUUCAGAGCUGAAGGUGCCUCACUGCCCUGUGGAACAGGUGAAUAAAGCCUUUCCAGCAUCUCUCUCUAGCCUAUUAUCUCCUGUUAGACACAGCCCAGAAAAUGAAUAGAGACAAGUCCUGGCUGGGUCUGGGUUCAGAAACAUAAUAGAAGGAUUCAUCUAAAGAUAACACGCAAGGAAAUACGGGCCAACUCUUCACAUGAGCACAAGAUAUUUCCAUGCUAGCCUUUUGCAAGUAACAACAGAGAGAGCUCUGUGCAGUUUUCACUGGAAUGCCUAUGGAUUGCUUGUGUCAUAACUGUAAUCUAAAGAGUUGUCCAUUUGUUGAUUCCUUUGUGUUUGUAUUGGUAGAAUUGCCACUAUCAAACCAAGAUCUUUAGCUGUCUUUGUAUCAACUUCUUUGGAGCUUAUGUGAUUUUCCAGAAAAUUUCCAAGGCAUAGUUUUGUCCCUAAGUCCCAUGAAUAUGUAAUAUUUUGUGUCUCUCUAUUAAAAUAGCACUUUUUGUGCAUUCC